UGGGGAAUAUUGCACAAUGGGGGAAACCCUGAUGCAGCCAUGCCGCGUGUGUGAAGAAGGCCUUCGGGUUGUAAAGCACUUUCAGUUGUGAGGAAAAGUUAGUAGUUAAUACCUGCUAGCCGUGACGUUAACAACAGAAGAAGCACCGGCUAACUCCGUGC
rnacentral:rRNA from 1 species